GACGGAGGAUGCAAGUGUUAUCCGGAAUCACUGGGCGUAAAGCGUCUGUAGGUGGUUUCAAAAGUCCACUGUUAAAGAUUGAAGCUUAACUUCAAAAAUGCCGUGGAAACUUUGAAACUUGAGUAUGAUAGGGGUAGAGGGAAUUUCCAGUGGAGCAGUGAAAUGCGUAGAUAUUGGAAAGACCACCAAUGGCGAAGGCACUCUACUGGGCCAUUACUGACACUGAGAGACGAAAGCUAGGGGAGCAAAUGGG
rnacentral:rRNA from 1 species